GCACAAGCGGAGAGCAUGUGGUUUAAUUCGAUGAUACGCGAGGAACCUUACCUGGGCUCGAACGUAAGAUGACUGUAGGUGAAAGCUUACAUCUCUUCGGAGCAUUUUACGAGGUGCUGCAUGGUUGUCGUCAGCUCGUGCCGUGAGGUGUCGGGUUAAGUCCCAUAACGAGCGCAACCCUACCUUUAGUUGCCAUCAGGUAAUGCUGGGGACUCUAAAGGAACUGCCUACGCAAGUAGUGAGGAAGGCGGGGAUGACGUCAAAUCAGCACGGCCCUUACGUCCAGGGCUACACACGUGCUACAAUGGCCGAUACAGAGGGCAGCUACCUGGUGACAGGAUGCAAAUCUCCAAAGUCGGUCUCAGUUCGGAUCGGAGUCUGCAACCCGACUCCGUGAAGUUGGAUUCGCUAGUAAUCGCGCAUCAGCCAUGGCGCGGUGAAUACGUUCCCGGGCCUU
rnacentral:rRNA from 1 species